AGCAGAAUGUGCAAAAAGCUGAUCUGCCUGGAGAUGAGGAGCAGAUAGGAACCGAGAUACCAGGAGGCAGAGAGAGAGUGAUGGAAGAAGGAAAUGGGAGAACUACAGUGAUAAAGACAGUAAAUGGCACACGAAAAAGGAGGUGAAGAAAUUCUGAGCCAGCAAGAAUAAAAAAAGAAGAAUAGAUGAUGAAAUGUUGGCAACUGUGAGGAAGACUGAAGGAUACACUCAAACUAGCAGCAGACAGUUUUCAGUUUCCUGUAAAGAAGCAGUACUAAAGCUGACUACAGGAACCAACACUUCUGAAGACAACAAAUAACAUCUCAGAGCCCACCCAGAGCAAUGCCAGAAGGAACACUUCCUCUAGCACAAAUACAGUCAGCAUGAUGCCUGAGUACUGGAGGCUCUGUGUGAAACCUGCUCUAAAGAAUUUAACUAAAUGAGGUGACAAGCAAGGAUCAGUCUGAGAAUUUGGGGUUCAUCUUGAGAAAUCACUUCUCCUCAUCAGCAAAAUAUUUACUGUUAUCCAUGCUCACUUUCCAGGUCAACAUGUCUUGCUGGAAUUAAAUGACAUUGCUAUAGUUAUCUUUAUAUUAUUGCAGUGCCUACACAUGCUGGGGGCAGACAGAGACACUGAAGAUAAUUAGCACUGGAAACCUUCAGCGUGAAUGAAGAUGAUUAGUACUCAGAGCCAAGCAGCAGCUCAGUACGUCCUUGAACAAUGCUAAAAACAUGGAAAUGUUAAGAAUGAAUUGGUCAGAGCAGCUGAGCAAGUAUGAGGAAAUUGCUCUCCCCAAACCUGUGCAGAGAAGAAAACCGAGGGACAGAAUGGUGGCAGGGCAUAAAGCUGAAGGGAUGGAUCUUCUCAUAUUCUAAACUAGCUUCUCUAUGUAGCUGGGAUGUGUGACAACAUUCACAUAUAUCAUGGCUGCAGUUUAGUUGAGAGGCACAUAACCAAACAGAGAGGACAAAGGUUUUUUUAGCCUUUAUGUAUAAAUGUGCCUGCACAAAUAAAAGGUUAAAUAUUCAGAUUGUCUUAGCUACUGCGUAAUCUCAAGUAUAAGAGAAAUGAAACACAUGAAAAAAAAUCCGGAGUGAUGUAUCAUGAGAAAAAGUGUGUUUCAAACUAUCCAGGCUUUAAUUUAUGGGCACUUCAAAAAAUGUAUAUGGCCUCCUACUAGCAACGAAGAAAGUUCACAGCCCUGGUUAUUUCCUCAGGCCUACUUCUAUCUCACUUCAGGGCAGCCAUCCAAUGUUGCUGUCCCUCAACCAGUCUUUCUUGCAGAGAUGACCUCUUACUAGUAAAAUU
rnacentral:lncRNA from 1 species